GCCCCCGUGGCCUAAUGGAAAGGCGCUGGUCUUCUAAACCAGGAGAUACGGGUUCGAAUCCUGUUGGGGGCG
rnacentral:tRNA from 1 species